AUUUUUAAUUCAAUAUCAGUUUUUUAUUUGCUUAACAUAGAAAAAAAUUAUUCAUAAAUAAAAAAGGACAAUAGUUUGAAUAAAACUUGAUUGGUUUUAUUGUCAAGUAUAAAUUUACAAAGUUUACAUAUGUUACCAUCUGGUGGUGGAGUCCAAUUACCCCGUAAGGAAGGAGAUUUAUUAAAAUAUGGAAGUUUAUUAUCUGGUUGGUCUCCAAGAUUUUUUAAGUUAGAGAGAAGUUAUUUACACUACUAUAAAAACAAAUAUACUCAUUUACCUACUGCUACCAUUACUCGUGGAGAAAUAAGCUGCGUGAAGCCUUCAACAGCAUUUCCAGAUCGUAAAAAUGUUUUUGAAAUUGUUCAAGUAAAAGGAAUUGUAUGGUAUUGUCAAUCAUCUACUCCGGAAGAAAUGAGAUCUUGGAUAGAAGCACUUACUUCUCAAUCAUCCACAUUAUCAUCACAGCGCCCCCCUUCAUUAUCACCUCCUUCAUCUAAGUAUUCCUCGGUUCCAGAUUUUUCGAUGUUGAACAACAACAAUACCAAUCAGUACCAUGAUAAUCAACUUAAUGUACCUCUUGGAGGUUAUUGUAAUUCUCAGCCUGCGCAUGUUUAUUUUUCUCAUGUUACCCACUUGCAUCAGUUCAAGUACAACUGUUUUCCAAAAUUAUAUUUAUGAUCAUAGGGGCAAAAGCUUUGUUAUUCACGCAAAUAUUUUUGCAUGUUAUUUUUAUAACAUGAACAUGCAAGUGCACCACCUCCGUAUUCUUUUAUUAAUGCAGACCUUGUAUCCUCUGAUGUUAACACGUGUCCGCCUCCGUAUCAGCCACCUAUGUAGCCCCUUUAUUAGUUAUCAAUUAUCAUGUACAUAUUGUGAAUUUUCAAAAAUAAUUUUUGUAGAUAAUUUUUGUUAGUUUUAAUUUUUCCAAAGAUUGUAUGAAGGGAAUGAGUAAUUUUAUACUUUUUGUUUUAUUUGUCUUAAAAAUGUCAUCUAAUUUUA